rnacentral:rRNA from 1 species
GGGGGGGGCAAGCGUUGUUCGGAAUUACUGGGCGUAAAGGGCGCGUAGGCGGUUUGCUAAGUCGAAUGUGAAAACUCUGGGCUUAACCCAGAGCCUGCAUUCGAUACUGGCAGGCUAGAGUUCUGGAGGGGAUAGCGGAAUUCCUGGUGUAGCGGUGAAAUGCGUAGAUAUCAGGAGGAACACCGGUGGCGAAGGCGGCUAUCUGGACAGAGUCUGACGCUGAGGCGCGAAAGCUAGGGGAGCAAACAGGAUUAGAUACCCUGGUAGUCCUAGCCCUAAACGAUGGAUACUUGCUGUGACUGGGAUUGAAUCCAGUCGUGGCGAAGCUAACGCAUUAAGUAUCCCGCCUGGGGAGUACGGUCGCAAGGCUG